UUUGUGUUGUACAUUAACAAAAAUAAAAUUUCUAAGAAACUAAAUUUAAAUUUAUUGCAGUUUUUGUAAUUGGGUUAGUAUUUAUAUCAUAGCAUAAUUAGAGACUGAUUAAGGUUUUCCCCCUACUCUGUCUUCUAGAAUAAAUUUUAAAUAAUACUUUUAAGAAUGUUCCGUUUUUUCAUGCUUUUUGUUUGUAUAAAUGCUAAUGAUUUAGUAAGUUUCAAUACAGGGAAUUAACUUUGUUAGUUCAGCUCUUAUGUCUGUAGGUUUGUUUUUUCUUCUGUUUUCAUUGCAGAG
rnacentral:lncRNA from 1 species